rnacentral:rRNA from 1 species
CCAGCAGCCGCGGUAAUACGUAGGUGGCAAGCGUUGUCCGGAAUUAUUGGGCGUAAAGCGCGCGCAGGCGGGAACUUAAGUCUAUCUUAAAAGUGCGGAGCUCAACUCCGUGAUGGGGUAGAAACUGGGUUUCUUGAGUGUCGGAGAGGAAAGUGGAAUUCCCAGUGUAGCGGUGAAAUGCGUAGAUAUUGGGAGGAACACCAGUGGCGAAGGCGACUUUCUGGACGAUGUCUGACGCUGAGGCGCGAAAGCCAGGGGAGUGAACGGGAUUAGAUACCCCGGUAAUCCUGGCCGUAAACGAUGGGUACUAGGUGUAGAGGGUAUCGACCCCUUCUGUGCCGGAGUUAACGCAAUAAGUACCCCGCCUGGGGAGUACGGCCGCAAGGUUGAAACUUAAAUAAAUUGACGGC